rnacentral:tRNA from 2 species
GGAUCUUUAGCUCAGUUGGCUAGAGCGCACGAUUCACAUUCGUGAGGUCGCAGGUUCGAAUCCUGCAAGAUCCACCA